rnacentral:rRNA from 1 species
AAGGAUCAUUACCGAGUUGAUUCGGGCUCCGGCCCGAUCCUCCCACCCUUUGUGUACCUACCUCUGUUGCUUUGGCGGGCCGCGGUCCUCCGCGGCCGCCCCCCUCCCCGGGGGGUGGCCAGCGCCCGCCAGAGGACCAUCAAACUCCAGUCAGUAAACGAUGCAGUCUGAAAAACAUUUAAUAAACUAAAACUUUCAACAACGGAUCUCUUGGUUCUGGCAUCGAUGAAGAACGCAGCGAAAUGCGAUAAGUAAUGUGAAUUGCAGAAUUCAGUGAAUCAUCGAAUCUUUGAACGCACAUUGCGCCCUUUGGUAUUCCGAAGGGCAUGCCUGUUCGAGCGUCAUUACAACCCUCAAGCUCUGCUUGGUAUUGGGCACCGUCCUUUGCGGGCGCGCCUCAAAGACCUCGGCGGUGGCGUCUUGCCUCAAGCGUAGUAGAACAUACAUCUCGCUUCGGAGCGCAGGGCGUCGCCCGCCGGACGAACCUUCUGAACUUUUCUCAAGGUUGACCUCGGAUCAGGUAGGGAUACCCGCUGAACUUAA